rnacentral:rRNA from 1 species
CACGUAGGGCGCAAGCGUUGUCCGGAAUUAUUGGGCGUAAAGAGCUCGUAGGCGGUCUGUUGCGUCCGCUGUGAAAACUCGGGGCUUAACCCCGAGCCUGCAGUGGAUACGGGCAGACUAGAGGUAGGUAGGGGAGAAUGGAAUUCCUGGUGUAGCGGUGAAAUGCGUAGAUAUGCGGAGGAACACCGAUGGCGAAGGCAAUCCCCUGGACCUGUACUGACGCUCAUGCACGAA